CCGGAGCCAAUUUAAGUGAAAGAGAAAUAAACGAUGAUAAAUUAAUAACAGUUGAGAAGUCGUUUAGUUUAAAGAAUACCUCGAGCUCUCGAGUCUGCGUAUUCUCAUCAGAUAUGAACUACUUGACUAUGCCAAUUAAGUCGGGACGACCCACCUUGGCGUUAGAUUAUUUCUGUAAGUUCACGUGACGAUCAGUCAGUUAAGAGGGCGAUCGAUGUAGAGAAAAGUUCAACAUUGAAUUUCGAUAACCAAAUGGGUAAAAAUGUUACUGAUACUGAAUCACUGUUUUUCUGCAGUGUUUCUAGUGGUAUGAUCCUGGGAUUCAUCUCAAAUGGUACGUCAGAAGACGAUUUGGAUAAUUUGUCCGUAACUAACUUCCAGUUUCAGAUCCUGAAUUUAGAAGCGCAGUUGUUGAGAGUAAAUAAUUAUUCUGGAAAAAAAAAUGAAGUAUGCGAAAGAGGACAAACAAAUCCUCAACAUCAAAAUGUGU